rnacentral:rRNA from 1 species
GUGGGGAAUAUUGGGCAAUGGGGGAAACCCUGACCCAGCAACGCCGCGUGAGGGAAGAAGGUUUUCGGAUUGUAAACCUCUGUCCUUGGUGACGAAGGAAGUGACGGUAGCCAAGGAGGAAGCCCCGGCUAACUACGUGCCAGCAGCCGCGGUAAUACGUAGGGGGCAAGCGUUGUCCGGAAUGACUGGGCGUAAAGGGCGUGUAGGCGGCCGAGUACGUCUGGAGUGAAAGUCCUGCUUUCAAGGUGGGAAUUGCUUUGGAGACUGGUUGGCUUGAGUGCGGAAGAGGUAAGUGGAAUUCCCAGUGUAGCGGUGAAAUGCGUAGAGAUUGGGAGGAACACCAGUGGCGAAGGCGACUUACUGGGCCGUAACUGACGCUGAGGCGCGAAAGCGUGGGGAGCGAACAGGAUUAGAUACCCUUGUAGUCC